GUUGGACAGAAACUUGAAUAUCUGCAACAAGUCACACCUGGGAGUACAGAUGUGACUGGGAGGUGAACAGCAGUCCUCCGUGGCUCUCCCGUCAUCCUUGGAGAUGACAACGCAGACUUCUUCAAGAAUUUGUGUGAGUUUAGGAUGGCAUGAAGCUUCGACUUGACCCUAUGGAAACACAGCAGAUGCCACCAAAGGGUCCUGAUCGGGGACUCUGAUGACCUUCUGGACGUGUCCCACGCCUCCAUUGGGACCCUGACGGUGCUGAAGACAUCGUGGCCUCUCCUCACUCGCUGGACCUGGAGUCCACAACUACUGCCAUCGUUUUGGGAGGAACAGUCGUGAUGGGUGACCGUGAUAAUCUUCCCCGUGCCGUGUGGCUACUCUUCGGACUUAUUUACCCCUGAAUUUGGAGUAUCCUCAACGAGUGAGGAACACCUUCUGAAUUUAUUCAUAGAGUGCUUCUCACUUGGACCAAAAACCCUAAAAUACAAUCACUCAAAAAUCUACUGAUGCCAUAAGGGACUGUGUUCAUGAUGUGCAGUCAGGCCCGAGAACUUCACCCUUCUAUCUCCAAUAGAACUCUUUUAUAGAAAAUGUCUGUUUUUGUUGUUUUUCUGUAGUGAAAUUUAGCAAAUGCCGAAAACGCUGUGUUCAUCAUAUUUCUGCGUUACAAAACCUAAUCUGGCAACAUGUUCAGCGUUUUAAGCACGUUGUUUGAGUUUUAAAACAUGUGUUUUUCUUCUAAAUAAACGUUGUCUUCCAUUGUAA